rnacentral:rRNA from 1 species
CGAACGCCCCGCAAGGGGAGUGGCAGACGGGUGAGUAACGCGUGGGAAUCUACCUAGUUCUACGGAACAACAGUUGGAAACGACUGCUAAUACCGUAUACGCCCUAUGGGGGAAAGAUUUAUCGGAAUUAGAUGAGCCCCGCGUAAGAUUAGCUAGUUGGUGAGGUAAUGGCUCACCAAGGCGACGAUCUUUAGCUGGUCUGAGAGGAUGAUCAGCCACACUGGGACUGAGACACGGCCCAG